rnacentral:snoRNA from 1 species
AAUCCUAGUUGUGGGAAUUGGCGAAGUAAACCUUUAUAUCGUUCCUAAGCCUCUGAAUAGUAUUCUGAGUCCAGUUGUUGCAAAGUAGUAAUCUCGUCCCUUAGCUU